AAAUGAUCAAUAAUUUAGACGUGCAUAAAGUCGGAUAUUUUUUUUGUGAAAUUGGUAGGGUGUAAGACUAUUUUUUUAGACAAAAUUACAAAAAUCGUCCCUGUGAUAUUCAAUUUUUUUGGGGUUUAUUUUUUUUGGCUUCAUAGUUCUUUUGAAUUAGCUUCGUUGCAUUUUUUAUUUAUUUUUCAUUUUUCUUUCAUUCUCUCUCUCUCCCCGAAGCACCCUCCCAGUUCAUCUUCUGCAACCUAUUCUUCUUUACUAGUUUACCCUCAUCUCUUUUUUUUUCUCUCCAUCGCAAUGGUUGUGUUCUUCCUAGAAUUAAAAACUGGAAAAUGUUUGAAAAUUGAAUUCCAUCACAUAGGUGAUUAACAAUCAUUUUAUAUCGCCUUAAAUUAGUGGAUCUUCUUCUCUAUCAUCACCAGAGCAUACUCUGAUUCUGAUUUAGCUUCCUCAAUUUAAUGGAGCUUCUUGGUAAGGAUUUGUUUUCUUCAACAUCUAGCCGAAUCUGAUUUAAGGUUUCAAAACCCAAGGCUGUUUUAUUCAACAUCUAGCCGACUCUGAUUUAGGGUUUUAGAACCCAAGGCGGUGGCUCUGGUGUGUGAUUAAGCUCUCCAGAACCACAAUAAUAGGAUUGUUUCUGGGUAUUGUGUAGUUGCUGCCCUUCUAGUGAUGCCAAUAUUACAAUCGGUAGUUUUUGGGCCAGAGCAUAAGAUUUCCAUCACAUGUGUCACCAAGAACAAAGAGCUGAUUGCAAACUCAGUGGCCAAUUUGGGAAGAUCGCCAUUAACAUAUCUUGACUAGCAAGCUUACGACAAAGACGAAGCUCAGGUUAGAGACCGGCCAUGGAAACGCCUUCAAGAAAGCAUCGAUGUAAGCUACUAUAACAAUGGCUAAUUUAGGCUUUUUAUGGUUUUUCUAUUUCACGAAACAAUAGCAGUUUUUCCUGGUGGGUUCAUUGUCUUGAGUUGCAAGUCCAUGGUAUUGAAUCGAGAUUUGCAGGUUUGAUACAUCAGUAAUUCGAUUGAUUUCUCAUUUAUUUCAUCACCGUCAAUUGAAUUUAUUACUUGAUUUCAACACCUAAUUUGUCUCAUUUAUUACUUGAUUUCAACACCUAAUUUGUAUCAUAAUUUCAGUUUCUGCAAAGCUUUGUAUAGGAUCUAAGAUUUUUGAGGUUUUCGAGCUCGGAUUCGGUUCACAAGUAAUUCGGUUUCUGCAAGCUUGUUGUCCUUCAUCAUCUACAACGAAUUGAGGGAACAAAGGAUGCAGACGGCUCUAGUUUGUCCUCAUCUUCAUCUUUAUUGAGUUGUGUAUGUUUGUAUGUGUUUGUAUGUGUGUGUGAUCUGCGUAUGUAUAUGUGUUAUAUUCUAACUUUUUAGUAGAGUUUAGAGAGAUAAAAAAGGAAAUAGGAAGAAGAUGAAGUAAAAAGUGUGCACAUGAGAGAGAGAGAUAUGUGGGCCUAAAUUAUUUAUUUAUUUUCUUUUUCAUUUAAAUUAAAUAGAAAAAUAUAAAAAAAAAUAUAUCAGAAGGGCAUUAUAGUCAUUUUAAUUUUACAAGGGACCAAAUUUACGUAUAAACAUGGCCAAAAGGACCACGAAUCCAAAAAAUUCGGGGUUUGGACUAAAACCCCAAAAAAAUACAUACCACAGAGACCAUUUUUGCAGUUUUGUCAUUUUUUUAUGACACGAAAUUGGUAGGGUGUAAGACUAUUUUUUUUUGUUAUACAUACCACGAAUGAAAUCGUGGUCUCGUUGGCCACGAGCACGGAUCGUGCACACCACCCCGACGUUCCGUGGUCAGGCUUCUUCGUGUUCCCGACGAUGAAUUCAAACGAGAAAUUUGAUUGGUUGUUUGGUUUUUUGGCCGUUGAACGACAAUUUUGGCUGUUUUUUUUUCAAACUCAAUUUACUAAUUAUAAAUAAAACUUCUAUUAUACCAAAAUUUACACCUCAUUCUAUUCUCUAAAACCACAAAACACAUACACAUAGAUUCCACAAUACAUAUGGAAUUUUUAAAAAGUGUUGACUCGGAUGACGACAUAGAUUUUGUCGAGACAUUCUUCAAUGUUGUGUAACACAUUCACGACGAAGAAAGUUCGAAUGUAGCUCGUACAAUGGCGGUCGUCAAUUGUGAUCAUCAAGCCGCACACGAC
rnacentral:lncRNA from 1 species